UACGAAGGGGGCUAGCGUUGCUCGGAAUUACUGGGCGUAAAGGGAGCGUAGGCGGACAGUUUAGUCAGAGGUGAAAGCCCAGGGCUCAACCCUGGAAUUGCCUUUGAUACUGAUUGUCUUGAGUAUGGGAGAGGUGAGUGGAACUCCGAGUGUAGAGGUGAAAUGCGUAGAUAUUCGGAAGAACACCAGUGGCGAAGGCGACUCACUGGCCCAUUACUGACGCUGAGGCUCGAAAGCGUGGGGAGCAAACAGG
rnacentral:rRNA from 1 species